UACGGAGGGUGCGAGCGUUGUCCGGAAUCAUUGGGCGUAAAGAGCGUGUAGGCGGCCUGGUAGGUCAGCUGUGAAAACUCGAGGCUCAACCUCGAGACGUCGGUUGAAACCACUUGGCUAGAGUCCGGAAGAGGAGAGCGGAAUUCCCGGUGUAGCGGUGAAAUGCGCAGAUAUCGGGAAGAACACCCGUGGCGAAGGCGGCUCUCUGGGACGGUACUGACGCUGAGACGCGAAAGCGUGGGGAGCGAACAGG
rnacentral:rRNA from 1 species